AACACGAGUCACACUGCGAGACCUACAACAGGGAGAGACAAGAGCCAGUGCUGUUAAACUUGUUGCAAAAAGAUCUGGACCACUCUCUUUCUAAAGGUGAGGAGACAUUAGUGACGACACUAAUGAAAAGAAAAAUUGCAACCUCCGGUAAUGGAGAGAUUUCACUCCGUCAGGUGGUACAGUAAGUAUAAUAGUUUGAGUUUAAAGUGUUAAUCAAUUCUGAGAGGACACCUCAUCUGUGGUUUCUACCCCUUGGAAGUCAUAUCAAUCAAUCCUAUUUUGAAAACUGUUGCUUGUCGUUUCAAAGUGGCUGUUUACAUGAUACCGGAUCGAGUUUCGUUCCGGGUUGACUUUCAGUUUCGUUCCAUGUUUACAUGGCGGAAUGCCUGACGGCGAGCCUGCAUUGCUUCAGGACAGCACUCGCCUCAGAAAAAUAGUGAAAAAUGGCGGAAGCUAGAGCGAUUGCACGACUCAAUUUGCUGGCGGCAUAUAUGGGAAUGAUAAAUGAGCCGAUACUUUUACUCUUUACCGCUUUGAGACGCCGAAUUAAUUUACAAAGAAAUCUCCUGCUCUUUUGUGCAACUAUUAGGAGUUCCUUCUCGACUAGAUUUGGUAAAACACGGAAAAAACGAGCAACGCCUAGGCGAUUCUGGAUAAAACUAGGGCGAACAGAUCCGUGGUGAACCAAUUUUUAUGAGGCUAGUGGAUGAACUUCGUCCGUAUAUAACUCCAUCUCCUAGAUCUCCAAGACCUGGGAUUUCCGCAGAAAAAAGGUACUUAAGUUUAAGCUUAAGAAUUCCAGAAAAAGUCCAUACCCCCUACGGAGGGAAUUUUACAAAGGUACCCCCACCCCAGGGGGUCAUGGGUGACUACCCCCCACCCCCUGAUUUUUCAGCCAUGGAAAAAACUACACCCACUCCCCUCUGGAAAUAUUGUAGCUGCUGAAAAUUAAGGAAAUUUAUUAGAAAAUAUGAAUAAAAUGAUUUCCACUUCAUUUUCUAAUGUUUUCUAUUAAAUAUUUUCGAUGAAACAACAUUAGUUUUCCAUUAUCUUGGACCAGGGAAAUGAAAGUCAUAGAUUUGCGUCCACCGCCCGCAUGCCCCAAAAGCUACCGCCAAAACAUUCAUUAUUUUACAAAAAAAGUCAUUAUUUCCAAUAAAUAUAGAAACAUUGAAGUAUUGACAAGUUUUAAUCGUAAAAGUAUACCGUACAACAAACGAGAGUGGAUUCUUUCCGAGGUUUACUUAAACUGUUAGGUCUUUCAAGUCCGAUAUGGCCAUGUUGUGUGCUUGAAUGCAGUGGAUACUACCAAGUCUACCAAGUGGCAUGACGACGUUCAACUGGAACUGUAUGAAAUGACUGAAAUACACUUCAAAAAAAAAAUAAUGGAUAAUAAUACAUUAAAAAUAGCCUCGUGUUUUGAAAUUUGUUCGGACGCAAAUCUAUGACUUUCAUUCCCUUGGCCUAGGCAAGAUCUAAGCAAACAGGAAAACUCGUGUUAAAAGAGAAAUUAUUUUGGUCACAUUAGGGAGAUGUAGCUAGACUUCACAAAAAGAAAUAAGAAAUUAUGGGGGACUGAUAUCUCAUGUGUAUUUAAAUUGAAAAUUUGAGGGAGAUUUCUGUUGCUGUUUCCAACUUAACAGGAAUGGUAAAUGUUCUUGAUAAAAAAUGUCAAAGCCAAAUACAAAAUGACAAAUUAAACAAUCAACCCCCUGGAAUCGUUCAGUGCAUCAAAGCCCCCCUCCUACUGGAAUUUCCUGAGACUUUGGACCCCCCACCCCCCUGAAUUUCCAAUUCCCUCUGUGGGGGCUAUGGAUUUUUUUCUGGAAUUGUACAUUUUGUCAAAAGGGGGGAGGGGGCAGCGGUGGACACAAUCCUCCCCCCUCCAUAUGAGUUUUUCCAUAUGAGUUUGAAUGAUUUCCCACAUGUAUGUUUAUAUGUCAAAUGUCCCAAAGUGGGUGGCUAGGUUCCCACCUGUCUACACCAGGGUUCCUUUCAGUCUACGGACUGAGUGUGAAUUAAUAAGUUUUCACACCCGGGCCAUGCAUUUAAUGAGGUCUGGGCCACGAAGCGUAGCGAGCAACGGGUUUACAACGGUUUCAGGGAAUUUUUUUACUGAAAUGAUUAUAAAUCGUUUGGAUAACGAUAUGAUAUUUUACAUCGUGUUUAACUUAUAUCCUGGUCAAGAAUCAUGUGAAGAAAACUUUCUCGAGAAAUUCUCGCUUUCUCGAGAAAUUCACGCGUUUAGUUAACAGAACAGUGCAUUCGAGAAUGGCGCCGAAAACGGAACCAUGGACACGUCAAGUAGUAAUGGCGAAUGAGCCUCUUCUCUGGCUACAGUCACUGAUUUCCAGAUAGGGGGUAUGCCUCGUUGGGCCCUGGUGUUUGGCAAGAGUACGGUCCUCUCCACCUGUUGCCUCCAACACACAGCAUGUCGUGCAGAUGUGGCUGUGUUUAGUAGGACGGCCUCUGGAAUUUUUUUUUUGCCUUAUCUAGUCCGCUGAGCGCGGAACCCGCUUUCCUUUUCCUCAAGGUAGCGCCAGAACUACCGGCAGGCAAAAUUGAAAGCCACGUCACUCAAAACCAGUGCAAUAUCCAGGCCCGUACCCAGGAUUUUUCUUAGGGGGGAUGCGAAAUCCGAAACCCGGGGGGGAAGGGAGAAAGUUUUCUGAUAAAAGUCUGACCACCCCCGAAAGAACAAAAAGGGUUUUUUAUGCCUUUGGAGUGUCCACGGGACUUUAAUUGUCGGUUUUAGCUACGAAUAAAGUCUGACUUUUGGAUAAAUGACAUAACAGAUUGGAUCUAGCUUAUGCUUUAUAGUUUUGUCUACGAAUAGCACGUCUAUUGAGAACCGAAAGUUCGGCAACAACUUUCGGCUGUUGUUGCCCCUGGGUGUGGGCCUGAUAUCAGCCUUGUUUAGUGACAUUAUGAGAAUAAAAUUUGCAUAUUAAAUUAU